rnacentral:lncRNA from 13 species
AUGUAUUGUCAUGUUGUGUCUUGUUUCUGUCCUUUCCCUUCACCCUGUCUCCCUCUGCUGGUCGUUAUUAGGUUACCUUUUCUCCCCCUCUUUCCCCCAGCUGUUCCUUGUCUCCUCCUAACUACCUCGUCACCCCUUUUCCCACCUGUUCCCUUUUUCCCUCUGAUUAGUCCUCUAUAUCUCUCUCUGUUUUUGCUCCUGUCUUUGUCGGAUUCUUGUUUGUGUGGUCGUUAUUAGGUUACCUUUUCUCCCCCUCUUUCCCCCAGCUGUUCCUUGUCUCCUCCUAACUACCUCGUCACCCCUUUUCCCACCUGUUCCCUUUUUCCCUCUGAUUAGUCCUCUAUAUCUCUCUCUGUUUUUGCUCCUGUCUUUGUCGGAUUCUUGUUUGUGUUAUUCAUGCCUGAACCAGACUAUCGUCAUGUUUGCUGCAACCUUGUCCUGUCCUGUCGGAAUCUGCCGGUCCAUCUGAGCCUACCUAUGUUUUGUCAUUAAAGAAGCUCUGUUUACGUUAAUUCGCUUUUGGGUCCUCAUUCACGCACCGUAACAAUCAGAAGCUUCUAAAGCCAUGACAUAAUUUUCUGGAAUUUUCCAAGCUGGUUAAAGGCACAGUCAACUAAGCGUAUGUAAACUUCUGACCCACUGGAAUUGUGAUAGUGAAUUAUAAGUGAAAUAAUCUGUCUGUAAACAAUUGUUGGAACAAUUACUUGUGUCAUGCACAAAGUAGAUGUCCUAACCGACUUGCCAAAACAAUAGUUUGUUUAAAAAGAAAUUUGUGGAGUGGUUGAAAAACUAGUUUUGAUGUCUCUAACCUAAGUGUAUGUAAACUCCCGAAUUCAACUGUAAGUCUUACAAUACAUUAUGACUGCAUUAUGAUAAAUAUCUCCUGCAGGCUUUAAGUUUAGUGUUACCCAUAUCUCAUUAUACGCCAUUUCCAUUCGUGAAACAUUCAAAAGAAGCUGGAUGUUGGACGCACUUACGACAAUAGUUUUCCUUCUCUGCAACUCCUUGCUUAUCUCCAUACUGUACUUGAGAGCUGUCCAGUUCACAGCCUACACAGGGUACUGCUACACACACAUUAUCAGAGGAAUCACCACAACAGUGAACUCUGGAAGGCCGUGAGAGAGAGGAAGUAACUUAUUGUCAGAAGAGAGGACCUCAUGUUUCUGCCCUGGUAAAAUGCAAUAUAUCAAUUGACAGCUUUGGGAACCUGUCCAGAUCUCACCUGAUAUGAAUUAUAGUUUUAAUGAUGUUUUGAAGCUACAUUGUUUGUUUACAAACAUUGGCGCAAAACAAGCUCAUAUGUUGGGUUAUGAUGGGGUACAACAGUUGAACUCAGUGCAUGAGGCAUUUAUAAUGUAAGUUACAUUCUUUCAGAAUCAAUAGGUACAUAUCCUUCAUUUAUACUUAAAAAAUAGUACAUGUAGCAACUACUGAUUGUCCCUAUAACAGCAUGACUAUAUAAGAUCUGAGAAAGAUAAUAAUACAAUGAUGGGUAUUAAAGUAUAAGAGCCUAUAAAUAGUUCAUAACCACUGACUUUUGAACUUAAAGAAAACUUUGAGUCUCUGAAUGUUAGAUAAGUGUAAAGACUGAAUUAACUUUUUUCUUUCAAAGCAUAAUGGAAACAGUAGCCUAAUCCAGUAGUGAUAACAAAACCCGAUAUAUUACAUAUUCUCUUUGUCUUUUUCAGUUCACUGUGUCUGAGUGCUAUUUUUUCUUAGUGGUAUUUCUGUGACAUGAAUGUGUCCUUUAAAACUCACUCCCUCCUC